AUCCCGAAACCGUAACGAGCUGACGAAUCCUUGUUAAGAACCCACUCAAAAUAUGUAUCAACAUAUAUGAAAAAGUAUUCUUCAGAGGCUACAUACCCACCGCGUACGUAAAUUGCUGGUUUCCAUAUAACCUCAUCUAAGUGAAACUAACACCAAAGUGUUAAAAUAAAUAAUAAAGGAAAAGCUUUAUUAAUAAAUGUUAUAUAUUCCACUACCCACAAAAGUAGGCCUAAAAACAGCCAACACAUAAACCGUUACAAGUAAUUUUAACUAUUAUCAAAUAAUUAUAAUACAAAAUACAUAAACCUAUAUGGACACCUAUAUAAAACCAAACCUAUAUGGAAGAAAAUGCUUAGAUCAGUAUUAAUAUUACCACCAACUAUUUCCUAUAUAUUAUCUUAAAUAUUUAUAAAUUCCACUUCCUAUUAAUCAACUCUAUAUUUGACAAAGGAACUCGGCAAACACUUGCUUCGACUGUUUAACAAAAACAUUGCCUUAUGAAAACAAAUAUAAGGUUCAUCCUGCCCAGUGAUUUACUUUUAAACGGCCGCGGUACCCUAACCGUGCAAAGGUAGCAUAAUCAUUCGCCUUCUAAUUAAAGGCUUGUAUGAAUGGACAAACGAAAGCAAACCUGUCUCCAUCAAACAAAAUAAAAAUUAACCUUCAGGUGCAGAGGCCUGAAUUACUCUAAAGGACAAAAAGACCCUGUCGAGCUUUACCUACAAAAUUUCCCAUUACACACACCAGUGACAUAAAAAAAUCCAAAUAGGUUAAGUUGGGGCGACUAAGGACCAAAAAAAACGUCCUUUUAACAAAGAUCUAUAUAUCUAACUAAAUGAUCCACUCCAAUGUGAAUGCAAAUCAAGCUACCGCAGGGAUAACAGACUAAUCCUCCUAGAGAGCCCAAAUUGACAGGAGGGAUUGGCACCUCGAUGUGGCCU
rnacentral:rRNA from 1 species